AUAUUCCGACAGGGGAGCGCCACAGCGCUGAGAGUGCGGCAAGCGGGCCGCAGACCCUCUGAACCUCGCCCAGGUCAUUCUGGGUAGGAAGUUCGGUCUUCACUCGAG
rnacentral:ncRNA from 1 species